AGCUGGUGGUGUUCGGGGACUGAGGAGCUGGCUGUUCGGGCGGAGGAAGCGUGUGUCACUGUGUGUAUCCGUGAGGGCUGCGCCCUGGGUGUAGCUCAGUGGGAUCCCACCCCAGGCCGGCUCAUGGAGGUCAAGGAAGGACAUGGGGACUCCAGUCUCAGUUUGAAACCAGAAGACCCUGGACCAGCUCUGUCGGGCCACCGGGCCUGUCCUGCUGGGCCUCACCCCUCCACCUUCGGCCCCUCCCCUCUGCUGCUCAGCCUAACUCCUCACCUCUCAUCACCACGAGUUUUACUUCCUGCUGCAACUGUCCCUUGUCAAGGACCAGGGUGUAAAUCCCUGAGUCUGCGAUUUGAAGGCUCUUGAUGACCAGAGGAAAGGAUCCUUGGUCCCACAGGAUUUUUUUGCAUUCAAGGCGAGUUUUCAGCUUGGAGGAGCCUGGGAGCAGAAGCCACGUGUGGUUGGGGUACCCUGAAGACACGACAUCGCCAGAGAGGGCAAUGCCCACAGCCUUUCUGAUCUCAGUCGCUAACUUUCUGCAGAAUCUGUCCCUAAUCCGAAAACCCCAGACUGGAGACGAGUCCCAUCAACAUUCACUUAAUUGGCCAGGACAAUGUCUCACUAAUCCAAAAUAAAAUGAGACCCUUAUUUCAAGAGCACCAACUCCUACAUGCCGAGUACUUUCCACGCAUCAUCGCAAGUGAUCUUCACAAUGAUUCCAAGAAGUAGGUAUUGUUUGGCUUGCUUUGUAGAUAAGGGAACAGAGGCUCAGACUCUUACUUUACACAUUGCUGGCAGGAACAUAAACCAGAACAAUUUCUUCGGAAGGUAAUUUAUAACAUCCGAAUUAUAAAUGCGCAUACAAAAAUAACUGUCCACCAGGAAAGAAUAGGUUAAGUAAAUAAUUCACCCAUUCAGUGGAAUGCUGUACAAGAAGGAAGCUCUUUCACGGUUAAGAAAGGAAUAAUAGUUAAGACACGUCAUUAACUGAAUCGAGCAAGAUAUUGAACAGGCUACCAUUUGUUUAAAAAGGAGGGAGAAAUCUAUCUAUCGAUAUCUAUUUCUCUAUCAUCUGCCUUGUAUAGGAACAAAUAUUUCUAGAAAUAAAUGUAAGAAAAUGGUAA